AUGGCACGUACUAAACAAACUUCUCAGAAAUCAACCAUAGCCAAAGCCCCAAGGAAAAAACUAGCAACCAAAGUCGCUCGCAAAUCUGCUCCCACCACCGGAGGAGUGAAGAAGCCACACAGGUUUCGUCCAAGAACAGUUGCUUUAAGAGAUAUCAGGAAGUAUCAGAAGAGCAAUGAGCUUUUCAUCCGGAAACUUCCAUUCCAAAGACUUGUUCGUGAAAUUGCUCAGAAUUUCAAAACUGAUCUCUGA